UUUCUCCUAUUAUUAGUAUGUGUCCUACCACACUGGCCUUCAUUCUACUCUCCAGAUAAGCCAAGUGCAUUCUCAUUUAGGGCCUCUGCUGUUGCUGUCUACUCUGUCUGGAACACUUUUCACCAUGGUAGAGCUCCCCAUGGUGCCCAGGCCAACUUCUUGUCACCUCAGAAGGUCUUCCCUGCCCAACCAUUCCAAAAUUGACCUCUAUUCAAUAAUAUUUUCUUAAUUGCACUUUACACCAUGUAAAAGUAUGUAGUUGAUUUAUAAUGUUUACUUAUUUCUGUCUCCUCUCUUAUAUCAGAUUAGUACCUCAGUUGAGAAUAGUGAUUUAAUCUGCUUAUUUAUGGCUCUAUCUCUUGUGCCUGAAACAGUGCAUUUAUAUAACAGAUGCUCAAUAAAUGUGUUAAAUGCAUGAUAAGUAAACUUUUUAAAUUUAAUUCCUUUAUUAAUUUCAGAUAUUUAACAUGUCUCAAUGGUGAGAAGAAAGGUUAAUAACAGCAAAUUGUAUUUACUUUCUCCGUGUCAAUAUAUAUUUUGAGUGAGGCUGUAUAAUUCAUCUACAACUGGAUAACAAAAAAACUUUAAAUGUAUUGACUUAAAGCAACAAUGAUUUGUUAUUCAUUAUGAUUCUGUGAGUUGGAUGAAGUCAGCUCAGUAGUUCCGCUCUAUGAGGUCCUCAUCUUCGUCCUCCUCCUCUCCCCCGUUCCUCAGUGAGUCCUCCUCUGCGUUCAUGGUUUCGAGGUCGUCCUCCUUCUUGUCUGCCUCGUGCUCCUCGUCCUGAGAACUGAGACACUCGUCUGUCCAGCUUGGAGGACCUUGGGGCUGAGGCUCGCCCAUCAGCCCACUCUCGCUGUACGAUUUGGUCAUGUUUCGAUUUCCUACAUUCAACAAGGGAGAGGCAAACAGAAAGAAAAGCAGAAAAACGCUAUAUUCAAAAGCCAGAUACGCCUUCAGCUUCCACUCCCUAAACCUGUACAAAUGCUUGCGAAAAGUACCUGCCCAUUACAAAAUGAAUGCCUCUGAGAAAAAGUUAAAUGCAGUGUUUUAUAAUGGCGCGUGCGUGUGCCCCGCUAGUACGUAGGAGUGAGGACAGGACUGGGGGAGGGUAGUGAAUAUGUAUAUGUGUACACCACUCACGCAUAUGUGUUUGUAUCCUAGUGAUUAACUUAAAUGUGUUUAUGGUGGUUGCCCGACAGGAUAAUGUGUGUGGAAAUGACUGUACAUUUCAGCGACUUCAUGUUUAUCCAAAUGUGU
rnacentral:lncRNA from 1 species